GGAUGCUGACGAGCGGCGGACGGGUGAGUAAUGCAUAGGAAUCUGCCCGGUAGUGGGGGAUAACCUGGGGAAACCCAGGCUAAUACCGCAUACGUCCUACGGGAGAAAGGGGGCUUCGGCUCCCGCUAUCGGAUGAGCCUAUGUCGGAUUAGCUAGUUGGUGAGGUAACGGCUCACCAAGGCCACGAUCCGUAGCUGGUCUGAGAGGAUGAUCAGCCACAUCGGGACUGAGACACGGCCCGAACUCCUACGGGAGGCAGCAGUGGGGAAUAUUGGACAAUGGGGGGAACCCUGAUCCAGCCAUGCCGCGUGUGUGAAGAAGGCCCUCGGGUUGUAAAGCACUUUCAGCGAGGAAGAACGCCUAGCGGUUAAUACCCGCUAGGAAAGACAUCACUCGCAGAAGAAGCACCGGCUAACUCCGUGCCAGCAGCCGCGGUAAUACGGAGGGUGCAAGCGUUAAUCGGAAUUACUGGGCGUAAAGCGCGCGUAGGUGGCUUGAUAAGCCGGUUGUGAAAGCCCCGGGCUCAACCUGGGAACGGCAUCCGGAACUGUCAAGCUAGAGUGCAGGAGAGGAAGGUAGAAUUCCCGGUGUAGCGGUGAAAUGCGUAGAGAUCGGGAGGAAUACCAGUGGCGAAGGCGGCCUUCUGGACUGACACUGACA
rnacentral:rRNA from 1 species